rnacentral:rRNA from 1 species
UACGUAGGGUGCAAGCGUUAAUCGGAAUUACUGGGCGUAAAGCGUGCGCAGGCGGUUUUGUAAGACAGGUGUGAAAUCCCCGGGCUUAACCUGGGAACUGCAUUUGUGACUGCAAGGCUGGAGUGCGGCAGAGGGGGAUGGAAUUCCGCGUGUAGCAGUGAAAUGCGUAGAUAUGCGGAGGAACACCGAUGGCGAAGGCAGCCCCCUGGGAUGAUACUGACGCUCAUGCACGAAAGCGUGGGGAGCAAACAGG